UGGGGAAUCUUGCACAAUGGGGGCAACCCUGAUGCAGCGACGCCGCGUGAGCGAUGAAGCCCUUCGGGGCGUAAAGCUCUUUCGACCGGAACGAUAAUGACGGUACCGGGAGAAGAAGCUGCGGCUAACUACGUGCCAGCAGCCGCGGUAAUACGUAGGCAGCGAGCGUUGUUCGGAGUUACUGGGCGUAAAGAGUGCGUAGGCGGCGAGCCAAGUUUGGUGUGAAAUCUCCCGGCUUAACCGGGAGGGUGCGCCGAAAACUGGUUGGCUGGAGUAUGGGAGGNGAAAGCGGAAUUCCUGGUGUAGCGGUGAAAUGCGUAGAUAUCAGGAGGAACACCUGCGGUGUAGACAGCUUUCUGGACCAAAACUGACGCUGAGGCACGAAAGCGUGGGUAGCAAAC
rnacentral:rRNA from 1 species